rnacentral:rRNA from 1 species
GUGCUCCUACGGGGGGCAGCAGUGAGGAAUAUUGGUCAAUGGGCGCGAGCCUGAACCAGCCAAGUCGCGUGAGGGAAGACGGUCCUAUGGAUUGUAAACCUCUUUUGUCGGGGAGCAAAAGACGCCACGUGUGGCGUUCCGAGAGUACCCGAAGAAAAAGCAUCGGCUAACUCCGUGCCAGCAGCCGCGGUAAUACGGAGGAUGCGAGCGUUAUCCGGAUUUAUUGGGUUUAAAGGGUGCGCAGGCGGAAGAUUAAGUCAGCGGUAAAAUUGAGAGGCUCAACCUCUUCGAGCCGUUGAAACUGG